AAACAACAGCCUCUGCAAGUGUGUGAUUAGAGGAGGGAGAUGUCUUUCAGUAGGAACUUUUGUCAGUUCUCCCUCGACUGAUGCAAACCAGCAGGAUUUACUGAAGUCAGGCUGAAUUAAGCCACACUUGCACGAUGAGUUCAGCAACAAAGGCUGGCAGUGGAACUCCCUGAAACCAAAAGAGGACAGGAAAAGACUUUGUAGUAAAAAAGCUGCUGGCAACUGAGGCACCUCUCUUCUGGCUUUAUGAUCACUGUGCAACCAGGCUUUAAAGUUCUUGGGAGCAAGUUCCACCAGCUUGUUUCCAGCCAUGAUGAGUCACGGCAAACACUGCAGCAGGUCAAGUUUUGGCAGAAACAGAAGAGUGAUACAAAGACAUACGGCUUCUCCCAAACCCAGAACCAGGAGGUGGAGGCAAGUUCACAAAGGAUGGAAAAGGAGGAAUACACUGGGGCAUGGAGUCAGAGAAAGGCACUUGAAAGCACAGGCAGAGGAGCCUCUGGGGUCCCUGUGUCCUGCCUUUGGACGAGACACCAAGGGGAUUUGGGAUUAACAGAAGCCCAGCUCAUGGCAGAGGAGGCUCUGGAACCAAAACCCAAAUGCAAGCAAAGGGAACAAGCUGAGAGUCUCCUUAUGACUACUGUGACAAGGGGCCGCUCCUGGGCAGGCUUGGCUGCAGGGAGAGCUUUUGCAGCGUCAGCGCCGCUGCCCGAGCCGUGGGGAGGAUCUCCAGCCACACCAGCAUCUCCUCACACCCUGCUCACCUUGAUUCCCCCCAGGAAGCGUUUCCCUGCCCUCCAUCCCGGCUCCUGGCGUUCAUUCCCUGCCUGGAGCUCACAGCCCGGCCCCUCUUUCUAGGAACCACCCCCCCAAAAAAUACCCACCCCGUUCAGGUGGUGGCUGAAUUCAGAGCAACUGGCUCAUGGCAAGCCCCAGCAAAGUAAGAUGUGUGUAAACUUUGUGGACUUCUCCACGUCCCUGUUUGUUUCCCCCCUUUGCAAUACAUCCUUGUCCUCUCAGGCACGAUGGACUGACAGAACUUCCACCUUCAAGGAGUCCUGCGUGGAGCUGGGCUGGAGAAUUGUACAGGAAAGGAACGAUUUUAGAAGCAAACCCGGACGUAAAAGAGAUGCUACUACUGCUAAGGACGAGACCCGAAACGCUCAACAGCCAGGAGAAUUCAAGAGAUAAGGUUUCCACAGCAACUUGGGCUCUGCCCUCCCAUGCAUUACAACAGGGGCUUCGGUGCCAUUCUCACGGGACGCUGGGAACCCCAGCUCGCGUUCAGUAAUCCAGAGAGGACCGAGCUGGACCACGGGAGGCUCGGGCAGCGAGGAGCAGCACCGCGGCAUCACCCUAGAAACCAGGAAUGCGGGAUUCGGGAGCAUCUCAAGGAGCCGAUCCUGCUGCCCGAGCUGCGGAGGGGGACAGCCCCGGUAAAAAGGCUGUGCUGCUGCUCAGCAGGGAGGUUUCGUGCGGGAAGAGCCGGGGGAAAAGAGAUUUUUUUUUUUUCCCCUUCCCAGGUGGCCGAAGGGCAGCUCCCCUCCAGCUGGGCAGGGCAGCGGAGAGCGCCCGCCCGGAGCCGGGAGCUGAGCGCCCAGGGAAAAACCUCCCCGUGGAUCAAAAAGCCUUCUCGCCACCCCAGACAGCUCCUUUUCAGAAAAGGAUGGGUGCUUAGCCGGGCUCCCUCCGCUUUCUCCCCUCGUCCCGUGAGAAUUCGGCUCCUCCAGCGAUGGGCGCGCUCAGGGCUCUCCCCUCCCUGCCUUUAAAUCCGGCUGUGCAAACUCCUGGCUGUUUACUUAGCCCGUGCUCCUGGGCUGGAAACAGCAAUAAAUCCCCACACCACCCUGCCCCUAAAAGCACAUCAAUCAAAUUGUGCUUCUCUUUAUAAUCCCCUUCCCUUUGAGACUGAUUAUUGAUCCUUACAACUCUCGGAGAUUUAUUGCAUAAUAGUGAUCCAUCCUUGAUAACCAGAUAAUCUCCAAAGGGUCCGGGGGCUUUUGCCAUCAGUAGCUCAUGCAGAUGGAGCAAAGCUUCAGAAAUACAUCUCUUUUUUUUGCUUCUUUUCUGGAAUGGGCCGGUGAUCAGGUGCAGACUACAAAUAGCUUCCAUGUCAUGUCACGUAUGCACUGAACAAUGCAAUGCAUAUGCCCAAAGGGGCACAGCUAAAAUGACCAGCCGAGGAUUAUUUAUUUUCAGCUGUGGGUUUGCUUUCUCUUUUCCUGUUUGUUUUUUGGUUUUUUCUUCCCAUUUUCCUUUCCCCUGCUAUAUGAUACAGAAGUGGAAGGUUUUGUUGCCUUGUUUUCAAAGGGAUUCUUUCUCCUGCUCCCUUUUCUGCUCCCGAUGGGUAAUUAUGCCCCUCUCCUCACCCUAGCAUCUAAAUGUCUUCCAGUGGUGCAUUAAAUAGUGUGACUAACAUC